AUGGCGUGUCGUCAGCUCGUGUCGUGAGAUGUUGGGUUAAGUCCGUAACGAGCGCAACCCUUGUCCUUAGUUACCAGCACGUUAUGGUGGGCACUCUAAGGAGACUGCCGGUGACAAACCGGAGGAAGGUGGGGAUGACGUCAAGUCAUCAUGGCCCUUACGGCCUGGGCUACACACGUGCUACAAUGGUCGGUACAAAGGGUUGCCAAGCCGCGAGGUGGAGCUAAUCCCAUAAAACCGAUCGUAGUCCGGAUCGCAGUCUGCAACUCGACUGCGUGAAGUCGGAAUCGCUAGUAAUCGUGAAUCAGAAUGUCACGGUGAAUACGUUCCCGGGCCUU
rnacentral:rRNA from 1 species